rnacentral:rRNA from 1 species
AUUGAACGCUGGCGGCAGGCCUAACACAUGCACGUCGAGCGGAGCGGCGGACGGGUGAGUAAUGCCUAGGAAUCUGCCUGGUAGUGGGGGAUAACGUCCGGAAACGGGCGCUAAUACCGCAUACUAUCAGAUGAGCCUAGGUCGGAUUAGAGAGUUGGUGGGGUAAAGGACUACCCAGGCGACGAUCCGGAACUGGUAUGAGAGGAUGAUCAGUCCCACGGGAACUGAGACACGGUCCAGCCUACUACGGGAGGCAGCAGUGGGGAAUAUUGGACAAUGGGCGAAAGCCUGAUACAGCCAUGCCGCGUGUGGGAAGAAGGUCGUCGGAGUGUAAAGCACUUGAAGUUGGGAGGCGUUACCAACAGAAUAAGCACCGGCUAACUUCGUGCCAGCAGCCGCGGUAAUUC